AAUGAACGCUGGCGGCAGGCCUAAACAUGCAAGUCGAACGCUGUAGCAAUACAGAGUGGCGCACGGGUGAGUAACAUGUGGGAAUAUGCCUAUUGGUACGGAACAACGUUUGGAAACGAACGCUAAUACCGUAUGGUCCCUUCGGGGUAAAGAUUUAUCGCCAAUAGAUUAGCCCGCACUAGAUUAGCUAGUUGGUGAGGUAAGAGCUCACCAAGCCGACGAUCGGUAGCUGGUCUGAGAGGAUGAUCAGCCACACUGGGACUGAGAUACGGCCCAGACUCCUACGGGAGGCAGCAGUGGGAAUAUUGGACAAUGGGGCAACCCUGAUCCAGCAAUGCCGCGUGAGUGAUGAAGGCCUUAGGGUUGUAAAGCUCUUUUGCCAGGGAAGAUGAUGACUGUACCUGGAGAAUAAGCCCCGGCUAACUUCGUGCCAGCAGCC
rnacentral:rRNA from 1 species